rnacentral:lncRNA from 1 species
GGUCAGUUGGUCAGUUGGAGCGUUUUAUUGCCAGAAAUACUGUGCUAUGUUAACAUCUAGCCUUGUGAAUGGUGUUUUAUACUUGCAUCUCUCAUCAUCAUCUGCUCUGUCCUCAUAAUUAUGAAAAAUGAACUGUUAUGUACCCCCCCCCCCUCCUUGCUUGUUAGAGAAGUAAACUGAUGAGAGCACUGGAUGAGGGUCUAUCAUCUAUGGUCUGUUAUAAUUUGCUUUUUAUGCAAAUAGUGAGCAAAAAUUAAAGCAAAACUGUACAAGUUACAUAUAUAGUACUAUAUCAGUACUAUACACGAACUUUUAUCGAUGGAUAAUUUUGCGAGUUUUCAUCCAAUUCAAUCAUAUAUAUGCUCAAAAUCUUCGUGGUAAGUUUCUCUUUACCAUACAAUUUGACCGAAUAAGUUUCAGAACAAUGCGACGGCAAAAAAUGCAAAAAUCCUGAUUUUCGUAAUAGAAUUUAUAGUCUUUUUGCCCUGUUGUACCGCCAUCUUGGAU